rnacentral:lncRNA from 1 species
UUUUUAGUAGAAACAUAUUUUAUAAGAUAUAAUAUUAGGUAACUCUGAUUUAAAUUAUUAUUUUUUUAAGAGCAUGCAGGAAUCAAACCCGUAACCUCUAACUUUGAUACCGCUUGUCGGAUCGUUGGCGCUAACUAUUAAUCCCAAAAGUUCGAGCUGUUAGAAAUAUGUAACCAAUUCGAUCACUUAAAAUGUAUAGAUACAACGCCCAUGGGUCUCGAUUGUGAUUUGGCCCAACCAGCCUCACGCCACUUCGAACAUGACUCGGCCCAACCCAGCCUCACGCCAUUUCGAACAUGACUUGGUCCGCAUGCCCUCCUGCCACAGGGCAGGAUGUUGGCCGAUUUAAGCCAACAGAAUCUCGCGAUUGGCAUGCAAUAGAAGACCAGCGAGUGCCAGCUAUUUGGUUAAGAUGAUCA